GCCAGUGUGGCAUAGUGGUUAGAGUGUUGCUCUAGGGCUCUGGAGACCAGGGUUCGAUUCCCAGCUUGGUCA